GGAUGCGAGGGCGAUCUGGCUGUGACAUCUGUCACCCCAUUGAUCGCCAGGGUUGAUUCGGCUGAUCUGGCUGGCUAGGCGGGUGUCCCCUUCCUGCCUCACCGCUCCAUGUGCGUCCCUCCCGGAGCCGCGCGCUGGGUCGAAGAGGACGACCUUCCCCGAUAGAGGCGGACGGUUCUUGGGUCAAGGGUAUACGAGUAGCCGUGCUCCCCUGCUAGAACCUCCAAACAAGCUCUCAAGUUAUCUGAUCAAAGAUAAAUAGCCACUUUGAUGAGAAUCUGCGGGACAGAGUCAAUGGGAAAGAAAUAUAUAAUGAAGGAAAAGUGUCAAAUAUUU
ensembl:misc_RNA 7SK 7SK RNA